UAUCUACUCUCUCUGUUCGAAAAUACUUGUCAUCAAAAUGGAUAAAAAAAUGUAUCUAGAACUAAUAUACAUCUAGAUACAUCUUCUUUUAUUCAUUUUGAUGACAAGUAUUUCCGGACGGACUGAGUACCUA
rfam:Triticum aestivum genome assembly, contig: Triticum_aestivum_CS42_TGACv1_scaffold_000219_1AL